rnacentral:rRNA from 1 species
AUUGAACGCUGGCGGCAGGCCUAACACAUGCAAGUCGAGCGGAUGACGGGAGCUUGCUCCUUGAUUCAGCGGCGGACGGGUGAGUAAUGCCUAGGAAUCUGCCUGGUAGUGGGGGACAACGUUUCGAAAGGAACGCUAAUACCGCAUACGUCCUACGGGAGAAAGCAGGGGACCUUCGGGCCUUGCGCUAUCAGAUGAGCCUAGGUCGGAUUAGCUAGUUGGUGGGGUAAUGGCUCACCAAGGCGACGAUCCGUAACUGGUCUGAGAGGAUGAUCAGUCACACUGGAACUGAGACACGGUCCAGACUCCUACGGGAGGCAGCAGUGGGGAAUAUUGGACAAUGGGCGAAAGCCUGAUCCGGCCAUGCCGCGUGUGUGAAGAAGGUCUUCGGAUUGUAAAGCACUUUAAGUUGGGAGGAAGGGCAGUAAGUUAAUACCUUGCUGUUUUGACGUUACCGACAGAAUAAGCACCGGCUAACUCUGUGCCAGCCGCCACCGUAACAC